AGUAUCCGCACCCCUGUGAAAAUGCCCUACAGUUCUCUGCUUGAGAACAAGGAGCCGGUAUCAGGCACAACCAACUCAGCCCAUGACGCCUUGCUUAGCCACACCCCCAAGGGAACUCAGCAGUGAUAAACAUUAAGCCAUAAGUGAAAACUUGACUUAGUUAAAGCUAAAAGAGUCGGUAAAACUCGUGCCAGCCACCGCGGUUAUACGAGAGACCCAAGUUGAUAAUCCACGGCGUAAAGAGUGGUUAAGGAAAAACUACAAACUAAAGCCGAACACUUUCAGGGCUGUUAUACGCAUUUGAAAGCAAGAAGCUCAACUACGAAAGUGGCUUUACACCACCUGAACCCACGAAAGCUAUGAAACAAACUGGGAUUAGAUACCCCACUAUGCCUAGCCCUAAACAUUGAUAGCACCCUACACCCGCUAUCCGCCCGGGUACUACGAGCAUCAGCUUAAAACCCAAAGGACUUGGCGGUGCUUAAGAUCCACCUAGAGGAGCCUGUUCUAGAACCGAUAACCCCCGUUCAACCUCACCCUCCCUUGUCUUUUCCGCCUAUAUACCGCCGUCGUCAGCUUACCCUAUGAAGGACUAAUAGUAAGCAAAAUUGGUAAAACCUAAAACGUCAGGUCGAGGUGUAGCGCAUGAGAGGGGAAGAAAUGGGCUACAUUCACUAACGUAGUGAACACGAACGAUGCACUGAAACGUACAUCCGAAGGAGGAUUUAGCAGUAAGCAGAAAAUAGAGCGUCCUGCUGAAACUGGCCCUAAAGCGCGCACACACCGCCCGUCACCCUCUCCUAACCCAAAACCACCAAUAAUUAAUAUCAAAUAUUCGUUAAGGGGAGGCAAGUC
rnacentral:ncRNA from 1 species